AAGAUUCUUCUCAUGUUCUUGUUUUAGCCCAAUAGGGACCUCUCCAUCUGCACCUGGUUCUCCAUCCGUAUCUCUCAAGGCGUGUACACGCUGAGGACCUAGCAUCCCCCUUAUCACGCGACUAGCCUAUGAAUUCCUUGAGAACAGGCUCUGUCCUUCGUAUCUUUAAAUACACUGUCGCUCCUCUCAGAGCAACACAUGAGUUGAGCCUAAAACCGCGUACAAGAGACUUCACCCUAUCCUGAGACAAAGCCCCUCAUACAACUUCCGAAUCCAAACGCGGUGUUACAGAAACUGGUUCCUCUGACGGUCUCAAGAGUUUUUCCAUUCAAGCCUCGCACACGGAAUUAACUCAAAACUUCUGCAAGAGAAAUGUCCCUUUUAGAGUUUGAUUUGGCAUCAGUUUCAAAGAGCUGUUUGUAUAUUUUAGAAUAUGUAGAAUUUUCCUUUGAUUGAAACCUCUCUUUUAACAAUGGACAA